rnacentral:rRNA from 1 species
UACAGAGGAGCCAAGCGUUGUCCGGAUUGACUGGGCGUAAAGCGCACGCAGGCGGUUUGGCGCGUGGGGUGUGAAAUCUGGCCGCUUAACGGCCAGGCGCCAUCCCAUACGGCUAAACUGGAGUGAUGCAGAGGUAGGCGGAAUUGACGGUGUAGCGGUGAAAUGCUUAGAUAUCGUCAAGAACACCUAUAGCGAAGGCAGCUUACUAGGCUGUAACUGACGCUGAGGCACGAAAGUGUGGGAGUCAAACAGG